AGCAGCCGCGGUAAUUCCAGCUCCAAUAGCGUAUAUUAAAGUUGUUGCAGUUAAAAAGCUCGUAGUUGAAUUUCGGGAUCAAUUUGCUGGUCGUGCCUCUGGUACGUACUGGUAUUAUUGGUUUCUCCCUUCUGACGAACCAUGAUGUCAUUAAUUUGAUGUCGUGGAGAAUCAGGACUGUUACUUUGAAAAAUUAGAGUGUUUAAAGCAGGCAUUAGCUUGAAUACAUUAGCAUGGAAUAAUGAAAUAGGACGUUUGAUCCUAUUUUGUUGGUUUCUAGGAUUGACGUAAUGAUUAAUAGGGAUAGUUGGGGGCAUUAGUAUUCAAUUGUCAGAGGUGAAAUUCUUGGAUUUAUUGAAGACUAACUACUGCGAAAGCAUUUGCCAAGGAUGUUUUCAUUAAUCAAGAACGAAAGUUAGGGGAUCGAAGACGAUCAGAUACCGUCGUAGUCUUAACCAUAAACUA
rnacentral:misc_RNA from 1 species